rnacentral:rRNA from 1 species
GACGAACGCUGGCGGCGUGCUUAACACAUGCAAGUCGAACGGAAAGGCCCUGCUUUUGUGGGGUGCUCGAGUGGCGAACGGGUGAGUAACACGUGAGUAACCUGCCCUUGACUUUGGGAUAACUUCAGGAAACUGGGGCUAAUACCGGAUAGGAGCUCCUGCUGCAUGGUGGGGGUUGGAAAGUUUCGGCGGUUGGGGAUGGACUCGCGGCUUAUCAGCUUGUUGGUGGGGUAGUGGCUUACCAAGGCUUUGACGGGUAGCCGGCCUGAGAGGGUGACCGGCGACAAGGGGACUGAGAGACGGCGCAGACGCGGACGGGAGGCAGGGGGGGGGAGGGGGGCGCACUGGGCGGGAGCGGGAUGCAGCAGCGCGGCGUGCGGGAGGAAGGGCUACGGGGGGUAAACCGAUGUCGCCGGGGACGAGGAGGGAGUGACGGUAAGGGGUAAAGAAGCAACGGCGAACUACGUG